rnacentral:snoRNA from 1 species
CCCAUUGGAGAUGCAGAGCUGAUCUCCGUCAUUCUGCUUGGCCUCGACUACGAGUACAACCCCAUUGUGACAUCAGUCAUGGGCCGCGUGGAUCCUAUUCCUCUGAACAAGCUCUAUGCACAACUUGCGACGUAUGAGA